CUCGCGGUCGGAGCUGCCGGUGAGGCGGCGCC
rnacentral:scRNA from 1 species